AGAGUUUGAUCCUGGCUCAGGAUGAACGCUAGCUACAGGCUUAACACAUGCAAGUCGAGGGGAAACGACAUCGAAAGCUUGCUUUUGAUGGGCGUCGACCGGCGCACGGGUGAGUAACGCGUAUCCAACCUGCCCACCACUUGGGGAUAACCUUGCGAAAGUAAGACUAAUACCCAAUGACGUCUCUAGAAGACAUCUGAAAGAGAUUAAAGAUUUAUCGGUGAUGGAUGGGGAUGCGUCUGAUUAGCUUGUUGGCGGGGUAACGGCCCACCAAGGCAACGAUCAGUAGGGGUUCUGAGAGGAAGGUCCCCCACAUUGGAACUGAGACACGGUCCAAACUCCUACGGGAGGCAGCAGUGAGGAAUAUUGGUCAAUGGACGAGAGUCUGAACCAGCCAAGUAGCGUGCAGGAUGACGGCCCUAUGGGUUGUAAACUGCUUUUAUAAGGGAAUAAAGUGAGACUCGUGACUCUUUUUGCAUGUACCUUAUGAAUAAGGACCGGCUAAUUCCGUGCCAGCAGCCGCGGUAAUACGGAAGGUCCGGGCGUUAUCCGGAUUUAUUGGGUUUAAAGGGAGCGUAGGCCGGAGAUUAAGCGUGUUGUGAAAUGUAGACGCUCAACGUCUGCACUGCAGCGCGAACUGGUUUCCUUGAGUACGCACAAAGUGGGCGGAAUUCGUGGUGUAGCGGUGAAAUGCUUAGAUAUCACGAAGAACUCCGAUUGCGAAGGCAGCUUACUGGACUGUAACUGACGCUGAUGCUCGAAAGUGUGGGUAUCAAACAGGAUUAGAUACCCUGGUAGUCCACACAGUAAACGAUGAAUACUCGCUGUUUGCGAUAUACAGCAAGCGGCCAAGCGAAAGCAUUAAGUAUUCCACCUGGGGAGUACGCCGGCAACGGUGAAACUCAAAGGAAUUGACGGGGGCCC
rnacentral:rRNA from 1 species